rnacentral:lncRNA from 10 species
CGCGGCUCGGGCGUAGGAGGCGGUGCCUCUGCAGCAAGCGUGGGGCGCGGGAACCCGAGCAGUAUCUGUAUCUGUAAAGUGCCAGUGAUAACACCUGUCUCACCGAGAUGCUGGGGGAAUUCAGGAAAAUCAUGCAAAAGUGCCUGGUACGGAGCCUGGCACGCAGAGGGCUCUUGGUCAAGUGGGUUGGAGCUGCGUGAGCCCAGAAGGGGAUAGAGGCAGCGUGGAGGAAGGCGGCAGCGGGCCCGGUCGCUGGGAAUGAAAGGCCUCAGUGUCUGGGGCUUCCUCCCCGUACUACCCGCAGAGUUUGUUCAGGGUGGAGGACUCUCCAGUCCUCAGUCACCUUGGACAAAGAAGUGUGGAUCCUCAGAUUCCAUCUUUUCCAACUCCAAGGUGCCAUGGCAGAGAAGGUGCUGGUAACAGGUGGGGCUGGCUACAUUGGCAGCCACACGGUGCUGGAGCUGCUGGAGGCUGGCUACUUGCCUGUGGUCAUCGAUAACUUCCAUAAUGCCUUCCGUGGAGGGGGCUCCCUGCCUGAGAGCCUGCGGCGGGUCCA